GCCGAGAUAGCUCAGUUGAUAGAGCACUUCCAUGGUAAGGAAGGGGUCACGGGUUUGAGUCCCGUUCUCGGCUCCA
rnacentral:tRNA from 1 species